UCCGUAGGCGGGCGAUUAAGUCAGAGGUGAAAUCCCACAGCUUAACUGUGGAACUGCCUUUGAUACUGGUCGUCUUGAGUUAUAGUGAAGUAGAUAGAAUAUGUAGUGUAGCGGUGAAAUGCAUAGAUAUUACAUAGAAUACCGAUUGCGAAGGCAGUCUACUAACUGUAUACUGACGCUAAUGGACGAAAGCGUGGGGAGCGAACAGGAUUAGAUACCCUGGUAGUCC
rnacentral:rRNA from 1 species